CCUACGGGAGGCAGCAGUGGGGAAUCUUGGACAAUGGGCGAAAGCCUGAUCCAGCAAUGCCGCGUGCAGGAUGAAGGCCUUCGGGUUGUAAACUGCUUUUGUACGGAACGAAAAAGCUUCUCCUAAUACGAGAGGCCCAUGACGGUACCGUAAGAAUAAGCACCGGCUAACUACGUGCCAGCAGCCGCGGUAAU
rnacentral:rRNA from 1 species